rnacentral:rRNA from 1 species
UAGUGAGUUUGAUCCUGGCUCAGAACGAACGCUGGCGGCAUGCCUAACACAUGCAAGUCGAACGAGACCUUCGGGUCUAGUGGCGCACGGGUGCGUAACACGUGGGAACCUGCCUUUAGGUUCGGAAUAACUCAGAGAAAUUUGAGCUAAUACCGGAUAAUGUCUUCGGACCAAAGAUUUAUCGCCUUUAGAUGGGCCCGCGUUGGAUUAGCUAGUUGGUGGGGUAAAGGCCUACCAAGGCGACGAUCCAUAGCUGGUCUGAGAGGAUGAUCAGCCACACUGGGACUGAGACACGGCCCAGACUCCUACGGGAGGCAGCAGUGGGGAAUAUUGGACAAUGGGCGAAAGCCUGAUCCAGCAAUGCCGCGUGAGUGAUGAAGGCCCUUAGGGUUGUAAAGCUCUUUUAACCCGAGAUGAUAAUGACAGUAUCGGGGAGAAUAAGCUCCGGCUAACUCCGUGCCAGCAGCCGCGGU